rnacentral:rRNA from 1 species
AAGCUUGCUUCUCUGAUGUUAGCGGCGGACGGGUGAGUAACACGUGGGUAACCUACCUAUAAGACUGGGAUAACUCCGGGAAACCGGGGCUAAUACCGGAUAAUAUUUUGAACCGCAUGGUUCAAUAGUGAAAGACGGUUUCGGCUGUCACUUAUAGAUGGACCCGCGCCGUAUUAGCUAGUUGGUAAGGUAACGGCUUACCAAGGCGACGAUACGUAGCCGACCUGAGAGGGUGAUCGGCCACACUGGAACUGAGACACGGUCCAGACUCCUACGGGAGGCAGCAGUAGGGAAUCUUCCGCAAUGGGCGAAAGCCUGACGGAGCAACGCCGCGUGAGUGAUGAAGGUCUUCGGAUCGUAAAACUCUGUUGUUAGGGAAGAACAAAUUUGUUAGUAACUGAACAAGUCUUGACGGUACCUAACCAGAAAGCCACGGCUAACUACGUGCCAGCAGCCGCGGUAAUACGUAGGUGGCAAGCGUUAUCCCGGAAUUAUUGGGCGUAAAGCGCGCGUAGGCGGUUUUCUUAAGUUCUGAUGUGAAAGCCCCACGGCUCAACCCGUGGAGGGGUCAUUGGAAACUGGGAAACUUGAGUGCCAGAAGAGGGAGAGUGGAAUUCCAUGUGUAGCGGUGAAA